AAUUUACCAUCCUUAAUGUCUUUCUGCCUGUUAAGGAACCAGUCAGGAAUCUUGUACUGACGAGGGUUCUGCAUAAUUGUGACAAUUUUGUCAAUCUGAAACAGAAAACAUUUACUGGAUAAUAAAUAGGUAAUUCAAUGUGAACAAUGAAACAGUUAUA